rnacentral:rRNA from 1 species
UACGUAGGGCGCAAGCGUUGUCCGGAAUUAUUGGGCGUAAAGAGCUCGUAGGCGGCUUGUCACGUCGGAUGUGAAAGCCCGGGGCUUAACCCCGGGUCUGCAUUCGGUACGGGCAGACUAGAGUGCGGUAGGGGAGAUUGGAAUUCCUGGUGUAGCGGUGGAAUGCGCAGAUAUCAGGAGGAACACCAAUGGCGAAGGCAGAUCUCUGGGCCGUAACUGACGCUGAGGAGCGAAAGCAUGGGGAGCGAACAGG